GGGCCAUGGCCCAAUGACAAAGCAUCUGCUUGGCAUGCAGAAGGACCCAGGUUCAAUCCCUGGCAUCUCUG
rnacentral:tRNA from 1 species